CAGCCUCCCUGAGCUGUGCCCGCCCUGGGGGGAUUCAGAGCCGCCUCGCCCAGACUCCUUGCCACCCUGAGUAGGUCCUCAGAGGAGCAUGGGCAUCUUUGUCUCACCAGCCCCUUUCUCAGAGUAGGUCCACAGAACUGUUUGCCAGACUGUUGUAGGCUGAAUGAUGGACCCCCCCCAUAGGCCCCCCCAAAUGUGUCCACAUCCUAACCCCCAGAACCUGGGAAUGUGUUACCUUACCUGGCACAAGGGACUUGGCAGAUCUAAGUGCAGGAUCUUGCGGAGGUGCGGAGCCGAGCCUGGAUUGUCCAGGUGCGUCCAGUUGAUCACAGGCAUCCUUCUAAGAGGGCACCGGGGGCGUUAGAGGGGAGAUGGGUCCAUGGUCGUCGAGGUCGUGGUGGUGCCGCCGCAGGAAGGGGCCGUGGGCCGAGGAUGCAGGCAGCCUCUGGAGCUGGAGAAGAGCGGGAACUGGGUUCCUCCCUGGGGUCUCCAGCAGGAACACAGCCCCGCUGAUAACUUGGAUGUCAGCCUGUCAAACCCAUUGCAGACCUCUGGCCUCCAGAACUGUAAGAUAAUGAAUUUGUGUUGUUUUUAAGCCUCUGAGGAUGUGGCAGAGUUCCGGCUGUGGUGCCGUGGGUUAAGAACCUGAUUGCAGCAGCUCAGGUCGCUGCUGUGGUGUGGGUUUGAUCCCAGCCAGGGAUCUUCCAUGGGCUGAGGGUGUAGCCAUUAAAAAACACAAACAAGUGGCUCCCAGGCCUUCCCCUCUUUCCUGGAAUAGAUGCAUCCUGGGCCGUUUGCGCACCUGAAUUACCCUGCAGGCUCCGUGGAUGUGUGAUGGCCCCCAGGGUGGUGGCGCCGAGCCUGAGCUGGGAGCGUGGAGAAUGGGGCUCUGGCCACAGGGCUGCUGCCACUUGGCUGUGGCCAAGGGCAGCAGGGCAGGACUUGAGGGGACAGAAGAGGGGACCUGCCUGGGCCUGCAGAGAUUCUUUGUCCAAAAGUCUGAAUGCAGUGUUGGUGUGAUCAGAGAUCCAUGCGGUGCUGUGAAUAGCAAGGGGACAAUGCCACGGGCCAGCCAGGCCAAUGCCCUGUGGUCCUGGCUCUGUGGCUGACACAGGCCUCUGGGUACAUGCCCUGCUGUGUGGACCCUGGGAUUCAGCGGGCUCUGGCAGCAGUGACAGCUCUGUUCUAAUCCUUGCAGUCUUAUUUUAAACGUAAUUUAUUUAUUAUUUUACUGUUACUUUUUAAUCUUUUUAGGGUCACAUCCUUGGCUUGUGGAGGUUCCCCGGCUAGGGUCGAAUCGGAGCUACAGCUGCUGGCCUACACCACAACUACAGCAACACUGGGUCCAAGCCGCAUCUGCGACCUACAGCACAGCUCACGGCAGCGCCGGAUCCUUAACCCACUGAGUGAGGAGGCCAGGGAUCGAACCUGGUCCUUAUGGAUGCUAGUCAGAUGGGUUUCUGCUGAGCCAGGAUGGGAACUCGCCUUUAACUUUUAUUUUUAUUAGCAUAUAGUUGAUUUACAGUGUUGUGUCAACCUGCUGUACAGCAUAGCUGAAUGGUCACAGCUCUGUAUCCAUUCUUUUCUCACACUGUCUUCCGUCACCUUCUACCCCAAGAGACUGCGUGGAGUCUUCCCUGUGCUGUACAGGGGGACCUCACUGCUUAUCCGUUCUAAAUGUAUAAGCCUUGUGUUCUUGGAGUUCCCGUCGUGGUGCAGUGGUAACGAAUCCGACUAGGAACCAUGAGGUUGUGGGUUCGAUCCCUGGCCUUGCUCAGUGGGUUCAGGAUCCGGCGUUGCUGUGAGCUGUGGUGUAGGUCGCAGACGCGGCUUGGAUCUGGCAUUGCUGUGGUUGUAGUGUAGGCCGGCAGCUACAGCUCCCAUUCGACCCCUAGCCUGGGAACCUCCA
ensembl:lncRNA